CUUAACACAUGCAAGUCGAACGGCAGCACAGUGUGUAGCAAUACACAUGGGUGGCGAGUGGCGUACGGGUGAGUAACGCGUAGGAAUUUGCCUUAAAGUGGGGGACAACUCGAGGAAACUCGAGCUAAUACCGCAUGAUCUCUACGGAGCAAAGCUGGGGACCGCAAGGCCUGGCGCUUUAAGAUAAGCCUGCGUUGGAUUAGCUAGUUGGUAGGGUAAAGGCCUACCAAGGCGACGAUCCAUAGCUGGUCUGAGAGGAUGAUCAGCCACACUGGGACUGAGACACGGCCCAGACCUCUACGGGGGGGCAGCAGUGGGGAAUAUUGGACAAUGGCGCAAGCCUGAUCCAGCAAUGCCGCGUGCAGGAUGAAGGC
rnacentral:rRNA from 1 species